rnacentral:rRNA from 1 species
CAGCAGCCACGGUAAUACGUAGGGUGCGAGCGUUAAUCGGAAUUACUUGGCGUAAAGCGUGCGCAGGCGGUUAUAUAAGACAGAUGUGAAAUCCCCGGGCUCAACCUGGGACCUGCAUUUGUGACUGUAUAGCUAGAGUACGGUAGAGGGGGAUGGAAUUCCGCGUGUAGCAGUGAAAUGCGUAGAUAUGCGGAGGAACACCGAUGGCGAAGGCAAUCCCCUGGACCUGUACUGACGCUCAUGCACGAAAGCGUGGGGAGCAAACAGGAUUAGAUACCCGCGUAGUCCCUGUCUCUUAUAC